rnacentral:lncRNA from 1 species
AUGUAUUUCAGGCCUGCUCUGAUACCAAUUGAAGGGAAGGAAAAUUGUUUCUCUUCCAAAGGCCCAGGUUGCAUCUAAAAUUUUUUUAUUUAUCUAUAUGAUUAAGGAUCAAAUUCUUACCUGAUUAGCAAUAAAACUAGAGAUCAAAUCUCAAAUAAUCAGAUAUAAACCUUCACGGAGGCCUGGAUGUGCAGACCCUCUACUUCACAUGCACAUCAGAUGCC